ACAUUAUAAAGUUGGUUCAAUAGUCUCAAAAGAGAAAAUGCCUUCCUUAAGUUGUCACCCUAUUGUUCCGAUUGUUUUGUAUUUUUGCAGAUCUUGUAUUUUUUAUCAUAUUUAUUGUUCAAGUUUCUACCUUCAUGUGUCUAUUAUAGUUUUUGAGAUAAAAUACAAGAACACUAAAAUAAGUCAAAAUUUCGUCAUUUACCUGCAAUUAUAGCACCUUAGUGAGUAAAAAAAACGGUUAAUAUGUAGAUCCACGUGUAUUGUUUUUCUUUUUGCCAUGGCCAGUUUUUACCUAGUACAUAAUAUAGUUUUUAAGUUACAUUUGUACUUUGCAAACUCGUGGUUUUACGGAUAGUUUUGGUGCAAACAGGAAAUAGGAAGAAAUUGACGUCGACAUUAUGACUAUUGGUGCCACU
rnacentral:lncRNA from 1 species